rnacentral:rRNA from 1 species
AGUGAACGCUGGCGGUAGGCCUAACACACGCAAGUCGAACGGCAGCACAGUAAGAGCUUGCUCUUACGGGUGGCGAGUGGCGGACGGGUGAGGAAUACAUCGGAAUCUACUUUUUCGUGGGGGAUAACGUAGGGAAACUUACGCUAAUACCGCAUACGACCUACGGGUGAAAGCAGGGGAUCUUCGGACCUUGCGCGAUUGAAUGAGCCGAUGUCGGAUUAGCUAGUUGGCGGGGUAAAGGCCCACCAAGGCGACGAUCCGUAGCUGGUCUGAGAGGAUGAUCAGCCACACUGGAACUGAGACACGGUCCAGACUCCUACGGGAGGCAGCAGUGGGGAAUAUUGGACAAUGGGCGCAAGCCUGAUCCAGCCAUACCGCGUGGGUGAAGAAGGCCUUCGGGUUGUAAAGCCCUUUUGUUGGGAAAGAGAAGCAGCAGGUUAAUACCCCGCUGUUCUGACGGUACCCAAAGAAUAAGCACCGGCUAACUUCGUG